UUCUCCGCGAAGGUAACAUGGAAUAUACCGGGCAACAACUAUGAUCCAAUCAAACACUUCAUCAUAGAGACGGCCACCACUUAUGAUACGGAGUGGCAUAAAAAUGAAAGCGACCAUAUCGAUCCAAAGUUAAAAGAAAAAACGAUCAAAGGUCUCUCGCCCUGGACCUCUUACCGAUUUCGUGUGCUAGCGUUUAAUGCAAUUGGCCAAAGUGAUCCAAGUGAACCUACGGAAUUUAAGAACUGCAAAACUCCACAGAAAGCACCAUUCAUUUGUCCUGCGGUUGAAGCUAUAUCAGGAAAAGCGAACGAAUUGACCUUGAAAUGGAAGGAAAUUAAAUUAAUUGAUCGA